CCUCCUAAAAGGUAACGGAGGCGCUCAAAGGUUCCCUCAGAAUGGUUGGAAAUCAUUCAUAGAGUGUAAAGGCAUAAGGGAGCUUGACUGCGAGACCUACAAGUCGAGCAGGGUCGAAAGACGGACUUAGUGAUCCGGUGGUUCCGCAUGGAAGGGCCAUCGCUCAACGGAUAAAAGCUACCCCGGGGAUAACAGGCUUAUCUCCCCCAAGAGUUCACAUCGACGGGGAGGUUUGGCACCUCGAUGUCGGCUCAUCGCAUCCUGGGGCUGUAGUCGGUCCCAAGGGUUGGGCUGUUCGCCCAUUAAAGCGGUACGCGAGCUGGGUUCAGAACGUCGUGAGACAGUUCGGUCCCUAUCCGUCGUGGGCGUAGGAAAUUUGAGAGGAGCUGUCCUUAGUACGAGAGGACCGGGAUGGACAUACCUCUGGUGUACCAGUUGUCGUGCCAACGGCAUAGCUGGGUAGCUAUGUGUGGACGGGAUAAGUGCUGAAAGCAUCUAAGCAUGAAGCCCCCCUCAAGAUGAGAUUUCCCAACUUCGGUUAUAAGAUCCCUCAAAGAUGAUGAGGUUAAUAGGUUCGAGGUGGAAGCAUGGUGACAU
rnacentral:rRNA from 1 species